GGAGGCACCGUUGCACUCUGACAGGAGCCAUCAUGGGGAGAGCUCUGAUACAAACCACCCUCUUUGGUCUGUUUCUGACUUUGGUCACCUCAUUACCAAAUAAAGAUGACUGAGACAUCUACAGCUUUCACAUCAACUCCACAGUGACCAGUCGUUACGCUACAACAGUCAUCACAAGCCGUGUGGCCAAUCGAAUGAACGAAUCCAAGGAAGUAGAAUUCCAAGUGCGGAUUCCCAAGAAUGCCUUCAUCAGUAAAUUCAGAAUGUGUGUGAAAUAUUUACGUAGGUUUACACAUGAACAAUAAAAGAGUACGAACUGCAAAUCCAUGCUCGGCCGAUGCAGCCUGUCAGCGACUUCUAGGUUGAUGUGUACAUUGAUGAAAAGGCCGGCAUCAGUUUCCUGGAGGUUAAAGGUGGACUAAGCACCAAAGCUCUGGCUAAUGCCAUCACCAAAACACUGACAGACAAACAGGAAUUGGUGCUGGUGCUGGUAGUGCUGGAAGAGCAGGUACUGUAUUAUUUUUCUUUUAAUAUUCUUUUUAUGUACAGUAACUACACUAUAUGUCCUAAUGUUCCCUAGUUGAUACCAACUUAAAUGUAGCAAAGACCAUAUUAAGUCCCUAUUUACAAAAACAUAGCUGAAAUCACUAACAGUACGAAAAGUCAAGGUACCCGCACUUUCUUUCAUACAGGAGGUGUAAAUAGCGGAAAACCCAAAAAUGUUCUUGAGAUUUACAUUAGAAACACUUGUUUUAUGUCUUAUUAGAGCACAUCUCAUUAGUAUCAUUAACAAUAUUUAAACAGGUACAUUAAAAUUGUUACCAACUGUCAGGUUUUCGUUCUUGGUUUCAUUUUGAAAGGACUUUUCUGUUUUUGAUUCCAGUUUCCGGUUUUAUUUUGUAAGCACUUCCGUUUCUUGUCACACCACAGCAGUUCCCGCUUCACUCCCGGUCCUCAUUACACACACCUGUUUUGUAUCAGUAAUCAACUUCUUGCAUUUAACCACCACCUGUCGCCUUAGUUCUCCGCCAGAUCGUCGUACUUAUGUCAGUCAGUACCUACCAGCGUUUCACCGUCCUACCUGUUUGUGUCUCGACCCCGCUUCGUGUUCCUGACUCCCGAUUCCUGCCUGCUCCUUACCGGUACUGUAAACCUUAUCAAUCCUGUUGCCGAACCCUUGCCUGUCCCUGGACUUGUUUUUUGCCUGCGUCUGUUGUACCUCAACCUGAGAUAAAGUGUGUUUGACCUGGACCGUCUGUUAUAAGGAGUUCUGCAUUAAAGCCGUAAAUUUCACCCUCUGUCUGACGUCUCGGUGCUGUGCACGUGGUCCGAUCUUUGCCAAAACCUGACACCAACAUCUUUCAAAAUAAACAAAUGUUACAUCUUAUAUCAAUACAUCUUAACCCAUCUAAUAGAAAUUUUCUUAUCUUACUGUGAAUGUUUCUUUUUUUAUUAACUAAUGUAGUUGAUGUAUUUAUGGCAUUUUUUAAGGUGCUGCAGAUUAUGAUGUUUCCUAUUAUAACAGUAAUGUAUGAUGUAUUGUAUGUAGGAUUAUGGUGGAGAGUAGGUAUUGUAUUUUUUUUUCUUUUAAUACUCUUGUGAUAUACAGUAGCUUUUAUUUAACAUUAUGCAUGUGCACAGAUCUGUUGAUGUUCUCUGACUGAUAUCCUCUUAAAUGCGUAGCAAAGAUCAGAAACCCAUAUUUGCAAGAACAUAACUGAAAUCCUUAGUGUGAAAUCAUUAUUGCUGCAUACUUUAACUGUACACAAACACUCACACAAGACCAAAGGUGUUAGUGUCUUUCCACAAGAUAUCAUCUUAAUUCAUUCAGAUUCAUUAUAUCUUAAUGAAUCUAAUAGAAAAUUUCUUAUCUUACUGUAAAUGUUACUUUUUUAUUAACUCAUGUAUUUGAUGUAUUUAUGGCAUGCGUUUUGGGUCAACAACCUCUACUGGUACAAUUAAAAUUAUUUUUUUAAUGAAGGAUUUAUAAAAUAAUGAUGCACAACAUUUAAUAUAUUAUAAUGAAAAUAUUGUGUGAUGGAGCCAUAAAGCUGUGUUUACAUGUGACAUCAUUUGAAUGGUUUAUAAACAUAUGUCUUACUGCAAUAUUUUGUUUGUUUUGUCAGUAAUGAUAUCUGCUGAUGAUCUCCCCUCAGAGGCUGCUAGUACAAUAAGAUUUUACUCCAAAAUUUCUUAAAUAAAGGACCAAACAAAGGCCUUCACAACAUUUAAAGGGAUGUAAAAAGCCUGUGGUUAAAUGUAAAUGGUGAGGAAUAAUAUUUUAUCUAGCUGUAGAUGGAUAUAUUUAUAUAUUUAAUUUUUAAGAAAUAUUUAUGUAUACAGCCAUGUAUGCAGCUUUUGGUUUACAGAAGUUUGGGAUUAUGCGCCUACAAAAGUCACUGCUAUAGUGUUUUAGCUUCAUAAAAAUGUUAUUUUUGUUUGAAUCAUCAAAUAUAGUUACUUUUAAAUUGUGAAAUCACACACUGAAACUGAAAUACAUCAAUAAUAAUGUGCAUACAAUUAAAUAUAUGUGUAUGUGUAAAUGGAUAGCAGUCUGAUCACUUGGCCCAAUCCUAGCCUAAAACUUCUUCACCAUCCCAGUGAGGGUCAGUACAACAUUUCUUGUAAUUUCAUUGUUUCUUUAUUAUUUUAAACUACAGAACUAAUAAAAUAUUUAUUGUUUUCCAUAAAAAGGUAAUUUAUAGACAGAUGUAUUCCCAAAUUUCAGUUGGGAACACAUCUGUCAAACAUUUCAGACAUCUGUUUUCUUUUUAACAGAGCUAUCUGUGUUUGAUCAUCUUGAUUCAAUGAAAAACAGAGGCUUUAAAAUAAUUGGCAUCCAUUUAAAAAAUGGCCAGUUUGUUGAGAUCACCACAGUUGGCAUCAAUGUAAGACAAUCGUCAGGAGAUAUGCGCUCCUCUGAACGGAACCCUGAGCGAGUAGUCAAAGGACCUCCUUUAUCUCUAACUUGUCUAACAGCUGCUUUCUACCCUCCCUUAUAGUGUGUUAAUGACUAUUGGUGCAGUGUAUAACAGGAAAAAUGUUGGACAAGCUUUGUACUGUAUUUAUGUAUUUUUUCCAGCAUUACAGUGACUGGACGAGACAAGGAAUUUGAUGUUGCCGUUGGAGACACUCGCAUGGUCGUCUUAAUUCAUGAGGUGGAUGGUAACAAAUUCCGUUGGCCGGUUUUAAGACAGAAGCUGUCGGACAACAACAUUGAUGGAAUUUUAGUUCUAAAGCCAGCAGUUUAUGAGGAGUUGCAGCAAAGUCCCUCCACAAAGCUGAAGAUCAGAGAUCAGGAGAUUGUUGUCACCAGAUCCAGUGCUGUUGACUACAGUAUUUCUGCUGCCCCAACACUGGACUGCUGGUUCAUGUCUGCUGAGUCCGCUCUGCAGAGAAGCCUGGAUGAUUUCACUGUUUAAUCACCAGAAAUAUAA